rnacentral:tRNA from 1 species
GAGGCGGGCGGCCCGCUGGAGCGGGCGCUGGACGCGUUCGUACCGCGGUGGAUCGCCGAGGACUGGCCGUUCGAGCGGCCCCGCUUCA